UGCUUGUUUCAGAAUCAAAAAAUAUUCCAGACCCUGAGUUGGUGGUGAAGUUUGGUCCUGUAAACAGCACACUGGGCUUCCUUCCCUGGCACAUCAGGCUCACAGAGUUCAUCUCCCUGCCAUCCCACAGAAAUGUCUCGUAUGAGGACUUGUUGGGUGCCCUGCAGCGGUACGGGGCUUGUCAGCAGCGGCUUGGACAGUGAGGCAGCAAAGAGAUUAUUAAAUAAACAAGUGUGGGCUUUACACAGCCAGGACAUCCCGGACAGGUAAUGACUACCGUCCCUCAUUACUCGUCGGCUCAGCUAUGCCCAUCUGCUGGACCUCUAAUACAACAAGACAUUUCAAAUAUAUGGAAACCAGGAAACAUAGCCAGCCAAUCUUUACCACCAGCUUGUCUUCUAAUGAAUUCACAUUCCAGGACUCAUGGAACAUGCUCGGUAAAACAAGAAAAAAUGGCACUGACGUAAGACUGUCUCCACAGACUCAGUGGUCCUAACACCCUUGUUUGUUUCAUUCUUUCUCCAGCUGUCAUUUACUGCUGAUGGAAAAAUUGCCUUCACAUAGACUAUAAAGAAAAAACAAAUCUUUGUGUGCAAGCUGCAUCACAAGGAAAUAUAGCAGCAGUUUAGGGUCAUGCAGCACAGGAGCUGAGCAGCAGAGUGGCUAAUGUGUAAAUAUGAGAAAUUCCUGUAGCUCUGUUUGUCUCUGUGGCCUCCAGCUUGCAGUCACGUUCAUGUGUAGUGUUGUUUCAUGCACAUACAGACGGUUGUUCAACAUUGUUUUUGGUCUGAAAUAAAGAAAUGCACUGUGUGUA